UCUAUCACGAGGUAGAAUCUGGAGAAAUCUGGAGGCAAACGCUGGUCUAGAUUACACGAACCAAAUUGCCCGAUGAGACUGCUAGACAAGGUAAAGUCCAAAGCCGCCAAGGGCUAUUUCAAUAAACUUGGGUGGGCAUAUGAACGGAAAGAUGACGCU
rnacentral:ncRNA from 1 species